CCAAACUUGGUCAUUUAGAGGAAGUAAAAGUCGUAACAAGGUCUCCGUUGGUGAACCAGCGGAGGGAUCAUUACAGAGUUAUUAUAAACUCCCAACCCUUUGUGAAUCUUACCGUCGUUGCCUCGGCGCACAGCCUGGAACCGCUUUUCGGCGUAGCUACCCUGGAGCCAUCUACCCUGGAGCUACCCGGCACCGGUUACCAGCCGCGUCAGAGGACCACUAAGCAAACUCUUGUUUUACCGUGUCUCUCUGAAAGGAAAAGAAAAAUUCGUUAAAACUUUCAACAACGGAUCUCUUGGUUCUGGCAUCGAUGAAGAACGCAGC
rnacentral:misc_RNA from 1 species